rnacentral:rRNA from 1 species
UACGGAGGGAGCUAGCGUUGUUCGGAAUUACUGGGCGUAAAGCGCGCGUAGGCGGCUUUGUAAGUUAGAGGUGAAAGCCCGGAGCUCAACUCCGGAACUGCCUUUAAAACUGCAUCGCUUGAAUCCAGGAGAGGUGAGUGGAAUUCCGAGUGUAGAGGUGAAAUUCGUAGAUAUUCGGAAGAACACCAGUGGCGAAAGCGACGCACUGGACCUCUUCUGACGCGUGAGGCGCGAAAGCCAGGGGAGCAAACGGG